rnacentral:lncRNA from 1 species
AAAAUAUCGACAAUAUUAAAAUUUUCAUCACAACUAAUCCAGGAUCCAAACACACAUUUGAGGUCACUAAGAAAACAUUAAGAUCAAAAUUUCACCUCUAUAGUCUACAAAUUUAUAACCCUGUGCAGUUCAUAAACAUACCACACAUCACUCGAUAAUUCAUACAAUCUGAACUCAAACCAUCAAAAUAAUAACCACAACAUAAAUUCACAAGUGGG